AGAAUCAACGCUGGCGGCGUGCCUAACACAUGCAAGUCGCACGAGAAAGGGUAGCAAUACCUGAGUACAGUGGCGCACGGGUGAGUAACACGUGAAUAAUCUACCUCCGAGUGGGGAAUAACUGAGAGAAAUCUUAGCUAAUACCGCAUAAUACCCACGGGUCAAAGCAGCGAUGCGCUUGGAGAGGAGUUCGCGGCAGAUUAGUUAGUUGGCGGGGUAAUGGCCCACCAAGACGAUGAUCUGUAUCCGGCCUGAGAGGGCGCACGGACACACUGGAACUGAAACACGGUCCAGACUCCUACGGGAGGCAGCAGUGGGGAAUUUUGCGCAAUGGGGGAAACCCUGACGCAGCAACGCCGCGUGGAGGAUGAAGCCCCUUGGGGUGUAAACUCCUUUCGAUCGGGAAGAUAAUGACGGUACCGAUAUAAGAAGCCCCGGCUAACUUCGUGCCAGCAGCCGC
rnacentral:rRNA from 1 species